rnacentral:ncRNA from 1 species
UUUCCCUCAGGGUAGCUGGAGCCCACACGGGUUCUAUCGGGUAAAGCCAAUGAUUAGAGGCAUCGGGGGCGCAACGCCCUCGACCUAUUCUCAAACUUUAAAUAGGUAGGACGGCGCGGCUGCUGUAACACCCCUGGUGUUACUGUAACUAAAAUUUGACCAUGACAUCAUGAGCAUUAGAAUUUGCAUAUGUUUGACACACCUAGAGUGCAUUCACUAGGCUAAAAUUUCAAACAAGUUGUACUGUUUUAAAUGUUUUUGCA